CGGACGCGCACGCGCGCAUUCCUAGGACUCCGCGGUCAGGUGGGUGUGCCUGAGGAGUCGGGACUGCUGCGUGUAGCUCACUACCAGAGAACUUUCCCUGCAGUUACUUGAGUUGAUUGCAUCUUUUCUCCUGUUCUUCUCCCUAAGAUGAAGACAAAGAAGUAAUAAUUCCUAUUAAAAAUAAAGGAAAGAAGAAUAAGACUUAAGGAAGAAGGAGGAGAUCGAAAAUGGACCCCGCCAGAACUGCCCUAGAACUAACCAAAUGCGGCUCUUUACCCUUCAAAUGUGGUGGAUCCAAAUGGAGACAUGCACAAUCCAAUGGAAUCCUUCCAUAGGAAGAUAAAUGGCAGGAUCAAUGUCAUCUGUCUCUCCCUGUCAUACAGAAGGAGGAAAUAGAGAACUUUUCUGGUACUGGAAAGAGGUUUAUUAGAUAAUCAUUCACAUAUAUUCACCUGCCUCCUCCUCAUCUCGAUGGAUGGAGUAUACAUCACUAUUUCAUGCAUGUUAGAUUUGUUCAUGUUACUUGCUUUGGCCUUACAGUAGGUGGAAAGUACUUGGUCACUGGGAGGCCCACAGUUAUGGUGUAAACACAAGCUUGAAUGUGAUCAUGUCAUUGAGCUUGACCUCUUGUACCCCCUGGACCCAUGAGGGUGAGAAACAGGAGAAGUUGGUUUGGAUCCAAACUUCAACUUGGAGCUAAGCCAGACAAGCCUGUCUAGGUUCACCAAUCCCCUAAUUUGCAGAUGUAUGAAUAAAUAUAUAUGAUGGUUGUUUUAAGCCACUUAAUUUUUGGAAUGACUUGUUACACAGCUUUACUGUGGCAGUAGAUGACUGAUAAAAAGAAUCAGAGAAAGAAAUUCUAAGAAAAGCAGAAAGUAAGAGGCAAGGUCUUGGCCAUCUUUUUCUUUGGGAAAGAAACCCUGGAAAUGAGAAGAGGCAGGUAAAAGUACCAGACAGAUUUGUAUACCAAUGCUUCACUUUCUCUUGUGUAUCCUAGGAAGCUUGCAACCCUGUCAAAGAAGCUGUGUAUCUGGUGCCGUGUAGCACCCAACAUGGUGUAGGAGCGUCAGCUGAGUAGCACCAGUGGACGGAGGUGCUAAAUAGAUGGUCCUAAAAUUGCUGUUUAAGUUGUCCUCAGCUUGAAUGUGACAUUUUGACUACCUAAAAUUUCUACAUGUUCCAGGGUAGAUACAAAGUUUUGAGAGAACUGGUGGACAUGAAGAGGCCUAAGGCAAGAAAAAAGAGAUUGCAGAGUGACAGGAGAAUAUGAAAGAGAUCACAGAUUUCAGCCACAGGCUUCAGUGUAGCCACCAAGCCAGAAAAGGCCUCCCACAUAUCAGUAAAUGGCUACUGUAAACACCUGGUAAUCAGGAUUGGGGGCGUCUUAGCAGAGCCCAAUGAGAAUCUGGAAGACAGCACAAGAAGAGGCUCUGAGUGUAUUCUUAUGCUCAACUGUAUACCCAGAUAUCACCUUGAGAAAGGGAAAAAAGAUUGUGAAUUGAUUUGAAAGAAGUUAGAAACCCAACAUAAUUUAUACGAAAAGAUAUUUUUACUAAACUAGAAGAAACUGUUCUCUACUGCCAUCAUCAGGAAUUUGAGCUCUAAAGCUCAAAGAUAGGGUCAUAUUAUAGUAAAUAAAGGCUUUUUAUUUUUUGCAUCCUUUAUGAUAGCAUAUAUUUUAGCUUCACUAUAGUAUUGUUCAUCAUCAUUAUUUCUAUUAGAAGGAUCAUCUGGCCAGAUUCUUCUAGUAAUGCUUGAAUCCUCUUAAACACCAUCAGGGACAGAACAUUUACUAUCUCAUUCCAUUAUUGUAUACCUAUAAGUACUAGAAAGGCUUUCCUUAUGUAGAGCUAAAAUUUAUCUUCCUGGAGCUCGUAACCAUAUAGCAUUAUUUCUAUCCCAUGGAAUCACAUAGAAAUUUCUGUUCCCUCUUCCACAUGACAGCUAGACAUAUCUCAUAGAUAGUAAAAGAGGAAAAAGAAUUGAGUGUACAAUUUUUUAAUUUAUCCAUAGAUCUAAUAGUGUUUCUCAUAUUUAAUUAUAAUUCACACGUUUUCAAAUGAAAGCAUCAAAACUGAGAAUUGCCCCAAGUUGGAACAGUGGGUUAAAAAAAAUGUGUGCGGAAUAUAAGAUUGGGGAACAUUACCUUGGCAGAAGUUUAUAUAUAAAAAGAAGACCUGGGGAUUUAGUUGACUAAAAGAUUAAUAUGAUAUAGAAAGAGCAAUUGUCUUAUGCUGCUUUAAAGGAAGGACAAUAUCCCAUAUGAUGAAAAGUAAUUGUUUCAGUGUUUUUAUGUUGUUAGUAUCAUAAUAAAUCAUCUUAAUAGAGUGAUAUUCUUCAGUGCCAGAGGAAGAUCUGGCUGUGUUGGACUUAAUAAAUUAUGAAUUUAAUCUUGGUCUCAAGUGGGGGCCUGGGUGGACUUUAAAGGCAAUUUUGACUUUUUCUGAAUUUUACUAACACCCUGGUAAAACUUGGUUCAACUGCUACAUGUGAGAUAAUAGUGCUUUUGUUGUUCUCUACCAUUUUGAUUUUGAUUUUUAAAGAGAUAGAAAAAUUAUAUCUCCUUAACAGUUACUACAAAAAUUCAUCUCAGAAAGAGAAUUAUCUUAAUUUGAAAAUACUUUGAGAAAUGUUUGGGCCUGAAGAUGAGCUCUUUGAGAACUAGAUUAAAGCUGGAAAUGAAGAGGAGUGGAAUCUACUUUAUGUAAGAUAAUGAAAAUAAAAUUAGAGUUGAAGUUGGGAAGAUUGGUUGAGGAGCAGAGAUUUCAGAGCUAAUCUGUUACUGUGGCAUAGCAUAACCUACAAAGUAUUGACUAAUCAUUUUAAAAUCAGACAAAGUAUGAAAAGCAUGAAGAAAAGAAGAAAGCUUUAGAGGAAAAAUGAGCAACUUAUAAAGUAAAUUUCUCCUUUCUCAAUUUAUCAAAAAUAUACAGCACAGUGACCUCUGGAGCAAUCAGGAAGUUGAUAGGGCUGAUCAAUAAUUGUUUUGAUAAA